UCCGGGUCAAGUCUGAGGCAGUUUAGGCUGUACUGAGGCUUUGGUUUUGUCAAGACUGGUAUCACACAGGUGACCCCUUCGAUCUGCCUUCCCCACUUGAAUUCUCGAUAACUUUCAAGAGCCAGGUGAGAAGAGGGCAGUGCUAUAGGAGGAGUGACCACUGGAGAUAUGCCAGAGUGCUAUGGCGAAUGCCACCAAGUCCAUGGGUCUGGCAAUGAUGGGCAAAUGAAGAUGGAUUUCUUGGAGCCCAGCUAACGGCAAUGGUGAAGUGGACACAUUUCCCUUGGUUAAGAGAAAUCCAUGGUUUGUUGUGUUUGCCAAGAACAAAAAUGUUGGAAAUCCAGAUUAGCAGAGCUGCCACCAUUGACAUUUUUCACAUCAACCACAUCCGAAGGGCCAGGAUAUCUCUCUGUUGGUGAUCACAUCAGUUCUUCCCAGUCCAAGCUCUUAUCACCCAUUCCUAGAUUACUGCAAUAGUCCCUCAAGCUAUUCUUCUGCCUUGGGUUGCUUUCCCUAACCAAUUCAUCUUACACGUUACUUCCAGAUUAAUAAUUCUAGACCAGGACUUUCCUGGUGGUGCAGUGGUUAAGAACCCACCUGCCAAUGCAGGGGACAGGGGUUCAAGCCUUGGUCCAGGAAGAUCCCACAUGCCACGGAACAACUAAGCCCGUGUGCCACAACUACUGAGCCUGUGCUCUAGAGCCCACAAGCCACAACUACUGAACCCACGUGCCACAGCUACUGAAGCCUGCGUGCCUAGAGCCUGUGCUCUGCAACAAGAGAAGCCACCACAAUGAGAAGCCCGCACACCUCAACAAAGAGUAGCCCCCACUCGCCGCAACUAGAGAAAGCCUGCGUGCAGCAACGAAGACCAAACACAGCCAAAAAUAAAUAAAUUCAUUAAUUAAAAAAAAGUAAUAAUAAUUCUAGACCAGAUCUUUGUGUUAACUCUGCUGCACAGAAAACAUCCAUGGUUUCCCAUCCACUAGCUACAAGUUAAAGUCCAAAUUCCUGAGUGAUCCAUAAUCUGGCCCCACUCAUCUUCCAAACUUUCUAGCCUUACCUUCUAACACUCCCUCACGGUAAGCUAGCUAAACUGAUUUUCUGAAAUCCUACAGAACUUACUGUCUAUAUUAUUUUUUCCUAUCAUUAAUCAAACAUAGUUUUCA